CCCACCAGCUGUGCUUUCAGUGGAAGCAAGGUGAAGUCUGGAGUGUCUGACAGUUGGAUUCAGAGAUGGAGCUGGUUCCAAGCGUGAUCGUGGAUAGAACCUGUUGAUGGAAAACUAAUGGAAACCCCCAGCCUGACAGUGAGGGUGUUCCUCUGGGUGGCUCAUGGUCUCCUGCCAUAUUCCUACCUCCUAAAAUAACUCAGAGACACUUAAAGUGAUUUAGGGAUCAGAUUCACACUCCUCCUUUAGGCCCAAACUGUAGUACAACCAAAACCACACUUUAAUACACCCCAAGAUAUUAUUUUCAACACAAAGAUCCCAGCUGUUUUCUUUCUGACAUCCUGUAGGGACAUUGCUGUUGCUGAGGCUUUGUGUCCCCAGGCAGCAGGCUGGGAAAGACCUUUGCUGCCUGUGUCACUCUAUGCUGGGGCUACCAAGGAGACUCCUGGGACUACACCCAGCAAGGAACAUUUUCAAGGGGAUGGUGCUUAGAGCCAGAGAUGCCACUCAAGCCCUAACACACUGGAAGGAACAGGGACACACAGGUCUCCUUGAUGGAAAAGGUUUCUUCUGAUUGACAGAGAAGUUGGGCCAGAGACUUACAAGCAGAUGGACUAAGAGGAACAAGGGAAAAUGUCUACUGAUCCAGGUGAAGAUCAGCCAUUGAGGACAUGCUCAGAGAGCUGGCCAUAAGAUUCCUCUGCAGAAGUGUUACCAAGAAAGACAGGCACCAGACAAAAAGAUAUAUGGCACAAAUAUCUCUGAAUAAGGAGACUUUUCUUACUACAAUAAAUUCAUUUGUACAUUUGAAGCACA